GGAAUCUCUUCUUUGUGACAAAUCCAGUUUAGACAGAAAGGUGCGUUACUGAUUAGCUUGUACGGACUGCACAGGCUAAGGUGUGUUACUGAUUAGCUUGUACGGACUGCACAGGCUAAGGUGUGUUACUGAUUAGCUUGUACGGACUGCACAGGCUAAGGUGUGUUACUGAUUAGCUUGUACGGACUGCACAGGCUAAGGUGUGUUACUGAUUAGCUUGUACGGACUGCACAGGCUAAGGUGUGUUACUGAUUAGCUUGUACUGACUGCACAGGCUAAGGUGUGUUACUGAUUAGCUUGUACGGACUGCACAGGCUAAGGUGUGUUACUGAUUAGCUUGUACUGACUGCACAGGCUAAGGUGUGUUACUGAUCAGCUUGUACGGACUGCACAGGCUAAGGUGUGUUACUGAUUAGCUUGUACGGACUGCACAGGCUAAGGUGUGUUACUGAUCAGCUUGUACGGACUGCACAGGCUAAGGUGUGUUACUGAUUAGCUUGUACGGACUGCACAGGCUAAGGUGUGUUACUGAUCAGCUUGUACGGACUGCACAGGCUAAGGUGUGUUACUGAUCAGCUUGUACGGACUGCACAGGCUAAGGUGUGUUACUGAUUAGCUUGUACGGACUGCACAGGCUAAGGUGUGUUACUGAUUAGCUUGUACGGACUGCACAGGCUAAGGUGUGUUAUUGAUUAGCUUGUACGGACUGCACAGGCUAGUCUGAAACUGCACUUUAUGUACAUGCAUUGUGCCCAGUUUUUCCAUUUGUCAGUUAUCUCAAGCACUUUUCCUGGAAAAGGCUGGUUACCAGUAAGUGACUACUGCCCUUCUAAAUCAGGAUAAUGGGGGUGGGGGAAUUUGAAGCAGAAAUAACUUCGUGACCAAUAUCAAAGGUUCUUAUACACGAUCCUCUGAUUAGUGGUGCAGUGUUCUACUAGCUUUUUUUUGGCUAUUAUUAUUAUUGUUAUUAAUGUUAGUAGUCUUACUAUUAUUAUACACAAGACCUUGUUAUGACCUAUGCUUAUUUCAUCUGUACCGUAUUGCGAAUUAAAAAAUAUAAAAUA